CAUAUUGCAGGAAAACUGUCCUGUUAAACCAUCAAGUGCCUCGAUUUAUACUGCAAAGAGGAGAAAGGAAAACAAAGUGGGUUGAACCUAGCCUUGUGAGUUAGAUUGCCUGAGUUCUCCUUUUGACUCUCUCUCACUUGUUGCAUUGCCUUGGAUAAUUCUUUUUAAUUUGUCAAAAUCUCAGUUUCAUUGUUUAUGAAAUGAAGGUUAUGGUCAGGAACCUCUUUAUGUGUGGAGUAGACACACAGCAGGGAAAUCUCAGAAUAUCUAAUGCUCUGUCUGCUGUGGGCUCAAUAAAUCUAAAUCACAAAGCACAACAACAAAACUAAAACAAAAACCUUAAACCUGCCUGGAAAAAAAAAGCAAUUUAGCAGCAUCUGCAAAAGGAGAAAUCAAUAGCAUCUGUUGAUAAGAAUUCAACCAGCUUCCAAAGAUAAAGGAAACUUCUAAAAAAAUCUGGAAAUUCUUUGGCAAGAAUAAUGGAUAAAGGACUCAAGAAGUAUGCUUAAGAGACACACUCUACAUAAAAUUCUCUUGUGGGUUUGAAUCACCUAUGGAGGGAAAAUGAAGGCUGGAACGUAAUGGGGAGAUCAAUUCUGAAGCAAUUAAAUAAGCAGCCGACAAGGCUUUUUAAGCACCAGAGCAUUUGUCUCAAUAGAAAGCAGAGCAAGACCAAAGUCUUUCAAAUCCAGUGGCUGGACACAAGUCAAAAUGACUGACAAUGGCCCAGGAUGCAACAGAUGACCUUAGCAUCUUUGAUGCCUGAGCAAGCUCUAAGCAUUACAUAGCACCAGCUUCACCUAUCUUCAUAGUUGUUGGAACAGUCAAUAAAAAAUAGUUCUUGUACUCAGUGAACAUGCUUUUGAAGGGGAAGAGGCAGGAAAGGUAGAGAGACAGACAUGCAUACACAUAAAUAAACACAGAAUCCAUACUAAGUUAUAUCUAGGGUCAACAGCUGGGAGAUUAGAAAAGACCUGAGCUGAGUUUUGGAGGACAUCAGAAAUUCCAUUUGCUAGUUGAAAAGGGAGGAGAAUAUUCCAGGCACAGGGGAAAUAAUUUGGACUAAGACAUGAAGAAUGGAUGAAAUUUUACUCAUGAAGAAGAAGCAAGUAGAUCAAUUUGUUUGUAACGUAAAAUACAUAAAAGGAGUAAUGUAUAAUGGUCUUGGAAUCAUGGGCAGUAUCUCUCAAUAAAGAUGGCAAAUUUAAUGAAUUUGACGUACAAAAUGAGGUGUACAUAUUUGGAUAUGCAUAAUGUAUUGAUAUGUUUUUCUUGAUGUUUUUUAUUUACUACAAGGGUUCUAUGUGAAUAGGGGUCAGGAAAUUAGUGGGAAGCAAAAGAGAUUAAGAAAAAGUGAAAAAGGAGCAAUAAACUUAAAUAUGCAAAAGAAAAUAAAUUCAGAAGGGAGCCGAGAAACAAGAGGGAAAUUUUAUCAUCUUGUCAAAUUUAAUAUACUCUUUA